CUCUGGAGGUCAGGGGCAGGUCACAUGACCAGAGACAGUUGGAGGGAUGACAGUUGGUCAGGACACAGUCUGAGGUAGCUGUGAGAGAGGAGGGCAUCUCUGGCAGUGGAAAAUUCCUGUCAGAAAAUGGAGGUGCCACUGAGAGCAGCUGACAGGCAGUGGCUGUGUGGGAAAGCCACUCAGUAAAAGUCUAUAAAGUGCUACUUCUAAUUUGCAACUGCUGCAGCGCUGGAAGCAGAGUGGGUGUCUACAUUUUUUAGACCAAGGCUCUUUCAAUUCCAAAUAACUACAGUUGGCGAAGAAAUGACUUAUUCGACAUUUAUUAAGUUCUUCUAUGCGACAUGAUGUACUUCGGGAAUAUCUAUGGCAAUUAUAUAUGGUGUCAUAAUACAUGCAUACACACACGGUAUGGUUCAAAGGUCAUUUCUUCUUUUUUUCCCAUUUAUUGAACAUUAUGUGGACGGUAUUUGCCCAUCUUAAAGAUGGCCGUUCCAGCAUCCUUUCUUGAGAAGUAAGGAAGGAUGAAUAUCUAUUACCCUUUAUUAUUUUAAAAACUAAAUUUAUGCUGUUAUGUAACUGGAAAGAUCCGAAUCAACAACGGACUUUCAAAUAUCAUAAAUUACCAUAAGAUAUUUAUUCGUUAAUUUUCGAGAUGCACAUAGUAUUUCCUGUCUAAUAGACAGUAUGUGGGGAACCCGGCUUGCGCUCCAUGAUGCGUGCCAAGAGCCGCGUCAUCGCUAUGCAGACGUCAUUUCCUCUGUUCGUGACCGCGUUACCAUGGUAACGGCACAUAACCAAGCUGUGUUCUACAAAUCGUGCCUGGGAUUUAUUGACGUCACUUCCCCUUUAUUUAGAUCGCGUUGCCAUGGUAACGGCGCGCGAUCUAUGUGCAGUAAAUAUUCACAUGUUGUAAGUUUAAGUUAUAUAGCACCUUCAUUGGUACUUUGCUGUAGAAGCCUCACCAGUAUAAUUAAUCCAUGCUGGCAGUCACCGAUGUAGGUGAAUACAUGUCCGACACCAUUCUGUGGAUAUAGUUGCCAUGGAGAUUAUCUGAAUAAAAAUCUAGAAUGCCUCAUUUCAAUGUUGCUUUUUUUUUUAUCAUCAUUGUUAAUUUAUUUAAAAUUUAUUGAUGAAUGUUUUUUUGUAAUUUUGACAAGGGUUUCUUAUCAUGUUAAAAUGGCAUUUAAUGAUGAUGUCAUAAUUAGAAAUGUUCUGAUUGGUCUCUCAGCAUAUAAAUUCCUGGUCUUUCCACUCUCUCAGUAUGUCUUGAUAAAGGCCUGUUAGGCCGAAACAUGUUGACCAGCUGAGAGUGUGGACCUUUCGUUUUACCAUUUAGGUAGGAACUGGAACUGCUUUUAGUAAAAGAAAAAAAAAAUAAUAAUAAUUUUUUUUGUUUUAUGUAUAGGAUUUUGUGAUUUUUUUCCUGUUUGUUUUUUGGAUGCAUAAGUCAAGCUGCUUCAACAUCUUAUGAACUUUUGCACACUUUUUAUUGAUUGUGCUGUGUUACACCCUGAAUGUAUUGGGCGUUUUUUUAAUAAAUAUCUUUUUAUGGAUUGAU